rnacentral:rRNA from 1 species
ACGUAGGUGGCAAGCGUUAUCCGGAAUUAUUGGGCGUAAAGCGCGCGCAGGCGGUUUCUUAAGUCUGAUGUGAAAGCCCACGGCUCAACCGUGGAGGGUCAUUGGAAACUGGGGAACUUGAGUGCAGAAGAGAAAAGCGGAAUUCCACGUGUAGCGGUGAAAUGCGUAGAUAUCGGGAGGAACACCUGUGGCGAAAGCGGCUCUCUGGACCACAACUGACGCUGAGGCGCGAAAGCUAGGGGAGCAAACAGGA